rnacentral:rRNA from 1 species
AAUCCAUAGGUUAAUGAGGCGAACCGGGGGAACUGAAACAUCUAAGUACCCCGAGGAAAAGAAAUCAACCGAGAUUCCCCCAGUAGCGGCGAGCGAACGGGGAGGAGCCCAGAGCCUGAAUCAGCAUGUGUGUUAGUGGAAGCGUCUGGAAAGGCGCGCGAUACAGGGUGACAGCCCCGUACACAAAAGCGCAUGUGCUGUGAGCUCGAUGAGUAGGGCGGGACACGUGGUAUCCUGUCUGAAUAUGGGGGGACCAUCCUCCAAGGCUAAAUACUCCUGACUGACCGAUAGUGAACCAGUACCGUGAGGGAAAGGCGAAAAGAACCCCGGCGAGGGGAGUGAAAAAGAACCUGAAACCGUGUACGUACAAGCAGUGGGAGCACCCUUUGGGGUGUGACUGCGUACCUUUUGUAUAAUGGGUCAGCGACUUAUAUUCUGUAGCAAGGUUAACCGUAUAGGGGAGCCGUAGGGAAACCGAGUCUUAACCGGGCGUUAAGUUGCAGGGUAUAGACCCGAAACCCGGUGAUCUAGCCAUGGGCAGGUUGAAGGUUGGGUAACACUAACUGGAGGACCGAACCGACUAAUGUUGAAAAAUUAGCGGAUGACCUGUGGCUGGGGGUGAAAGGCCAAUCAAACCGGGAGAUAGCUGGUUCUCCCCGAAAGCUAUUUAGGUAGCGCCUCGUGAAU